UUGGGCAAUAUCAACACAAUUUAUUAUGAGUUGUAAAACCUGACAUAUUACAAAAUCAAGACACUGGCAUUUCACAAGCAUGGGAACUGCUAUCAACAUUACAUCCAAGAUUAUUAAUAUAACUGAUAGUGAUGAACAUCUCAUUCUUUUUCACACCAUUUCAAUAUUCCACCACACUUGACCCCUGAACAUAGCAACAUUCAAUAAUUGAAUGACCUAAUUGUCUUUCCCAGAGUUCAUGAUCUGGGUUCAUUUUGUUAUUAAAGGCAUACAGAUGUGUAGUAUAAAAACGUUUAUUUGAAAUGUUAGAAAAUAGACCACUCUAUAAUGCCAUCAUCUGAUCAUAUGUGUGUAUUACAAGUCAAAUACUGUGGACGGUUCAAUAGCCUACCUGGAAAGGGAAAGAGGGAUACCUAGUCAGUUGUCCAACUGAAUGUAUUCAACUGAAAUGUGUCUUUCGCAUUUAACCCAACCCCUCUGAAUCAGAGAGGGGCUGCCUAAAUCGACAUCCACAUCUUCGGCGCCUUUGCUCAGGGGCAGAACGACCUUCCGGUUACUGGCCCAACGCUCUAACCACUAGGCUAACUACUGGCAUCAACACACAAGGAACAAGGUGAAAAGGAAAGAAUACCACACAUAAACUGUUACGUUUACUAAUCCAAUAUGUAUGACAAGUUGCAUUAGUUAGGUUAAGCAUAGGACAAUACAUACAUUUGUUAAUCUGUCGUCAAACUAUUCAGGUUUAAGAUCAUUUUCAGCAUUUGAUAUGAUCAAAUCUGUCCCGUUAUCCCUUGCAUCAGUGGCCUUAUUAUUUCCUUACACAAUGUACAUUCCUGAACCAGUCAGCUCAAAUACAACUUACAAUGAAUUAUUGAUGCCAUACACAUAAUUCCAAUUGAAAUAGAUCUGGCACUGUCAUAUUGAUGCUCCAGCAGAUCAAUAUAUUGUUGUUAAACACCAGACAAUGAACACUUGAAAGCAGAGAACAUUUAAAAUACUUCAUGCACAAUGCUUCAAAAAGGUUGGUGGGCCAUCAGAGUACCAUCCUGUCUCUGUAUGGCCGCACAUGUUAUAAGCUUACAAUGGUUACUACUAAUAAUAGUACAGAACCUAACUGUCAAGAUGACACCAUUAUGUAUUCUACUAAUUGUAUUCUCCAGUAACACUACCAUUGCAGUCUAUGCUAGCUACAAAAUGUAUUGUGGCAAAUAUUGUAUUAAUUAACUACUUUGGUAGUGAACAGAUAAAAUCAUAUGCCCUUGAAUAGCAAAUAAGGUAGUAUUUGCUAGUAAAAAUUACAUUUGGGAGUCUGUUCAGUCAAAACAUUUAACACAAAGAUUAGGAGCAUUAACAUGUUUAGUGGAAUCAGCAUAAAUGCACUAUUUCACAAUCAGUCUUAUCUUUUGCUCUCCACAAAAAUAUACGUGUUAUCAACAUUUUGUACAGGCUAAAUGAGAAUUUAAAGGCAUUUCAUGUAGCAAAGUAUCACAUUCUUCUGCAACAAAUACAUGUUUUGUGCAGAGGUACCAAAACUAAAAGAUGGAACAGUAUCAAUAUUUGGCUACACAUGUACUUCACUGUCAAAAUUCAAGUUGUCACUUUAAUUAAAAACAUAAAAUUAGCCAAGACGCAAUUUAACUUAAGUAGAAGUAGGUUUAUGUGUUGACUGCUAUCCCAACUUGUCUUUCAGAGAUGAUAAAGUAAUCAAUCUGAAAUGUUAUACAUCUGUUCAUAACAUAGCACAAAAAUAAAUACAAGUGUCAUACAUGCAUUAUUAUUACCACUAUUGUUGAUAAUAUUAUAAUUAUAUAAAUAUCAUAAUAUAUUGUUUAUAUUACUAUAUUACUUGAUUAUAUGUGAUUCAUAAGUCACUAUACGCAUAACAUAAUGGUAAACUGGACUUGUUUAUUUUUCCCACACCUUAUUUCAACCAGUUUGCCAGUUGUGUAAACCCUACCAAAAGGACACUACUCUGUGACACUCAUGAGCUAUGCAGCUGUUCCUUUUGGUCUAUCAAUAAAUAGAUACGAGAUACAAACAUUGAUUUUGAUCAUUAAUAUAUGUAUUCUCCUCUCAUGUUCCAGUUAGUUUAAGGUCCUUGAUGGUGUAAUCCAGUGCAAGAAAUUAUGUCUAACUUAUGUUGAUACAAAUGGACAACACCAACUUUAAAUGAGUUCAAAAUGGAUUAUCACACAAAAUGAAAUAUUUCAAAGACACCUGAUUGCAACAAGUGCAUUCCAACUGACGUGUUACCCAUUAAAAAUUAUUCUUCAACCUCAUUCUGAAAGAUCAGACAAUGGAAUGCUUAGAAUCAGCACCCUUAUCAAAACGAGGAGCAUUUUGUAGAAGUAUAGAUGGUUGAUAAGACUUCAGAACACCAUGACUGAAUCUGCCACUUGUCACCUGUGGUGCAGCCAGAGGGUGUUUUAUCUAGUUGAUCAGAAUCUGGGACCUGGGAGCUCUCAUGGACAUAUAGGAUAUGGUUAUUCCUUUCCAGACAUAUAGUACAUACAAUACAGAAACAACUUCACAGACUUCGAGGCACCAGCAGAAUUUCUUUUAAUGUGAGUAUGUCCCUACAAAUUUGAUGAAAAGCUUUAUGCUUCCUCAAAGUUAACAAACGCAGACUGAUGAAGAAGAAUAGAAGAAAAUUAUAUGAUUCAUAUAAUAUUCAAUAAUUAUACUACCUAAGAUCCGAUUUGGACCAAACUUUUUUCUAUCAACGAGUAAGACAUGAGGAAUCGAAAGAAUCAAAAGCCACCCACAGACACCACACACACACUAAUAAAGAGUAUACAGUAUUAGUUCUCUAUGUCUGACGAAUAGUAUGGAGCUGUGACUCAGAGUAUUGUUUCUUCAUCCUAUGUAAUGUAUUCUCAGUGAAUUUGGUGGUUUUUUUCUUCCUGUUCAGAGAAAUUAAUAAUUUAAGUUAGUUAAUGUCCCAUCCUACAUCUUCAUAUUACAAUGUUCUGACCACUAGAUGGUGCUGUUCCUACUUGUAGUUAUUUUUUUCAGAAUCCCCCCUCAUUGUUAAAGGGAUUGUUCACCCAAAUUACAUAUUGGUUUCCUUACCCUGUAAAGAGUUUAGGGACAAGGUAUGACAGCAACCCAUGUUUCGGUUUUGUUUAUCUGGCCGGUGUUUGAAAUUCUAACUUUUUAGCAUUUGUGGCACAAAUCCAACGCAAGUCAAUGGUACCUAUAUUAGCAUUUCCAAGCUUCAUAUCUAAAUCAUCUGUUAGUAACAUUACAGCUUUAGAUACUUCAGAAUGAUUUGGACAUGAAGCAUGAAAAUGCUAAUACAGGUACCAUUGACUUGCAUCGGAGUUGUGUCACAAAUGCUAAAAAGUUUGCAUUUGAAUCAGUGGACAACAAAACCAACUCAUGGACUGUUGAAUAAAUUUUUUCAAAGACUGCUUACAGGUAAGGAAAGCAAAAGUAAUUUCAUAAUUUAGGUGAACUGUCCCUUUAACAUGAAGUGGUGGAGGAAUUCUUUAAAAAAAAUCAAACCUGGAGGUUAGGGUCUAUAUUAAUUGAAUAAAAUGGCCAAUUUGGGUGGAAUCAAUUAGCUUAAUUUCCCAGAGAUCAAAUUAUAUUUCAGCAAAAUAUUGUUGCAGGAACGCUAAUCUUAUCUGUUCCCUAACAGAAACAAUUUCAGUACAAUCUGAGAUGGUGGGUGUCGAAAUCCUCUUUCUUGUGCUUCUUGAGAUGGAACGACUCACUGAUGUCUUAGCAAUGAUAUAGAGCCCAUGUUCAUGUAAAUAAAGCGUAAUUCAGAGUCCACAGCAACAGAGCAGCAGUUUGUAGUCCAGCCCAACCGAGCUCUUCCCUCAAAUUCUAGACCAACACUGCUCAGCUCCCAUAUGCAGCUCCCAUUCAACUGACUGUGACGACAGACAGAUUAAUUGCUUGAGCUGCGCUGAGAAUUUGAAAAGUAUGAAAGCCAACGGUACAAUCUGUGUUGCAGUUUGUUUAAAUGUGCCAUUCAAUUGAGAAAACUGACAACUAUCAAAGCGGGAAUUGAAUCAAGCAAAUUAACAUGGCCCUAAAAAAGGCUCACCUGCAGCAACUGAUGUAAACACAGUAUGCAUUGAUUCAUUCAAAAUACUGAUAUCCUGAUAUAGAUCAACUCAUGCCAUAUCAGCUAUCAAAAACAAAAUAUAACACGAACACAUUUGGAAAGGAAUGAUGUUGGCUAUCCAUGAGAGCUCAAUGAAUUCACUCAAAGUGCUUUGCUGUCCUAGGUUUCUGUUGAAGACCAGCUCGGGACGCUAGGCUGCAACAUGGCAGUAGUGGAUUCCAUGGCUUGGUUUUAUUAAUGUUUUAUUAUUAACUCCACACUAAAGGUGUCGCCCAUCUCAUCCCAUUUCUUUCUAGACUCUGUGCUCUUCACUGGGCAGGGCUCUCACAUCUGGAGAGGUGAGAAAGGGUAGAAGGGAUACUGGGCCUCAUCUUCAUCCACAAAAAAGCACUGGAAGUAGGGCAUCUCAUC
rnacentral:lncRNA from 1 species